rnacentral:misc_RNA from 1 species
UCUGCUAAUAACUCUGAAAGAUACUUUUCUUGCUCGACGAGAGCGGAGGAGGCGGAGCGGAUGCCAGAAAGAUGAGGAGAGUGAGGGGCAGACGGAGACGGAGAAUAGGCCAUGUAACGGCCGCCCCCGCCGCCUGCUGUGGUCAUCUUGUCAGUGCUCCAAUCAAUAUCUGUGUAAAUAUCCGUGUUUGCGGUUUUAGAAUUGGCAAGAUAAAUGAGAUAGAAGGAGAGGAGAUCCCGAUAAGCGGCCACCGACAGUGGAUUCUGGUAUUGAUUUUUAGUGGUUUUUGGUCUUGUGGUUAUGGUUGUGGCUGGUGGGUUGAUCUUGAUCCCGACCAGACGCUCUCUCCCUAUCCAACGUCGGUGGAAAAUGGAAAUCUACAUUUAUGAAU